rnacentral:rRNA from 1 species
UACGUAGGGUGCGAGCGUUGUCCGGAAUUAUUGGGCGUAAAGAGCUUGUAGGCGGUUUGUCGCGUCUGCUGUGAAAUUUCGGGGCUCAACCCCGAACUUGCAGUGGGUACGGGCAGACUAGAGUGUGGUAGGGGAGACUGGAAUUCCUGGUGUAGCGGUGAAAUGCGCAGAUAUCAGGAAGAACACCAGCGGCGAAGGCGGCACUCUGGGCUGGAAUUGACGCUGAGGAGCGAAAGUGUGGGUAGCAAACAGG